UACGUAGGUCCCGAGCGUUGUCCGGAUUUAUUGGGCGUAAAGCGAGCGCAGGUGGUUUAUUAAGUCUGGUGUAAAAGGCAGUGGCUCAACCAUUGUAUGCAUUGGAAACUGGUAGACUAGAGUGCAGGAGAGGAGAGUGGAAUUCCAUGUGUAGCGGUGAAAUGCGUAGAUAUAUGGAGUAACACCGGUGGCGAAAGCGGCUCUCUGGCCUGUAACUGACACUGAGGCUCGAAAGCGUGGGGAGCAAACAGG
rnacentral:rRNA from 1 species